AUGAACGCUAGCUACAGGCUUAACACAUGCAAGUCGAGGGGCAGCAUGGUCUUAGCUUGCUAAGGCCGAUGGCGACCGGCGCACGGGUGAGUAACACGUAUCCAACCUGCCGUCUACUCUUGGACAGCCUUCUGAAAGGAAGAUUAAUACAAGAUGGCAUCAUGAGUCCGCAUGUUCACAUGAUUAAAGGUAUUCCGGUAGACGAUGGGGAUGCGUUCCAUUAGAUAGUAGGCGGGGUAACGGCCCACCUAGUCUUCGAUGGAUAGGGGUUCUGAGAGGAAGGUCCCCCACAUUGGAACUGAGACACGGUCCAAACUCCUACGGGAGGCAGCAGUGAGGAAUAUUGGUCAAUGGGCGAGAGCCUGAACCAGCCAAGUAGCGUGAAGGAUGACUGCCCUAUGGGUUGUAAACUUCUUUUAUAAAGGAAUAAAGUCGGGUAUGGAUACCCGUUUGCAUGUACUUUAUGAAUAAGGAUCGGCUAACUCCGUGCCAGCAGCCGCGGUAAUACGGAGGAUCCGAGCGUUAUCCGGAUUUAUUGGGUUUAAAGGGAGCGUAGAUGGAUGUUUAAGUCAGUUGUGAAAGUUUGCGGCUCAACCGUAAAAUUGCAGUUGAUACUGGAUAUCUUGAGUGCAGUUGAGGCAGGCGGAAUUCGUGGUGUAGCGGUGAAAUGCUUAGAUAUCACGAAGAACUCCGAUUGCGAAGGCAGCCUGCUAAGCUGCAACGGACAUUGAGGCUCGAAAGUGUGGGUAUCAAACAGGAUUAGAUACCCUGGUAGUCCACACGGUAAACGAUGAAUACUCGCUGUUUGCGAUAUACGGCAAGCGGCCAAGCGAAAGCGUUAAGUAUUCCACCUGGGGAGUACGCCGGCAACGGUGAAACUCAAAGGAAUUGACGGGGGCCCGCACAAGCGGAGGAACAUGUGGUUUAAUUCGAUGAUACGCGAGGAACCUUACCCGGGCUUAAAUUGCAGAUGAAUUACGGUGAAAGCCGUAAGCCGCAAGGCAUCUGUGAAGGUGCUGCAUGGUUGUCGUCAGCUCGUGCCGUGAGGUGUCGGCUUAAGUGCCAUAACGAGCGCAACCCUUGUUGUCAGUUACUAACAGGUUCCGCUGAGGACUCUGACAAGACUGCCAUCGUAAGAUGUGAGGAAGGUGGGGAUGACGUCAAAUCAGCACGGCCCUUACGUCCGGGGCUACACACGUGUUACAAUGGGGGGUACAGAGGGCCGCUACCACGCGAGUGGAUGCCAAUCCCCAAAACCUCUCUCAGUUCGGACUGGAGUCUGCAACCCGACUCCACGAAGCUGGAUUCGCUAGUAAUCGCGCAUCAGCCACGGCGCGGUGAAUACGUUCCCGGGCCUUGUACACACCGCCCGUCAAGCCAUGGGAGCCGGGGGUACCUGAAGUGCGUAACCGCGAGGAGCGCCCUAGGGUAAAACUGGUGACUGGGGCU
rnacentral:rRNA from 1 species